UCAGACUUAUCUUUUAGUCUCCAGAGGCAGAAAAAAAGCAGAAAAGGUUGUUGAAAUUCUUCACAUUGAUUUCAGGGCAAUGAUCUCAAACGGCGCAGUGGGAACCCGCAAAUUUAAGAGGGAACCCUCCACAUGCACUCCUCAGUACUUGGGGAACAGAAAGGAAUGAGAUGAAUGCACAUGGCUACAAGAAACGAGAACUAACAGAAAAUAAAAAGCCUCGAGACUUUCACUUGAUCUAGCUAAGAGCUCUAAAGCAGUGUUAUUUCUUCAGAACUUCCUUCAGUGUUUGAGCUACCCAGGAAUUCUUCCAGUAAACUACUUGAACACAGGAAGCCAUUAGACUGUACAAUUACAAAAUAUUAGGUUCUCCUAUGGUAGAAAACAGAGAUAACCACUGUUACCGAAUAGUAUCUUUCGGGUGGGUUUUAAAAUAAACAGUUUCCCUAGGAAAAGAGCCAGCCUGCCUGCAUAUGGCAGGGAAGUGUGACACAAAGCACCAGACUGGUUUUGGCAAACACAGGGAGGAGCCAAUUUCCAAAAGCUCUACAGUUUUAAUCCCCACUGGCAUGCAAUGUUUGUUUGUAUCUCACCCUUCUAUGUGUAAAACUGGACUCAAAAUUUGCACACUUAAGGAAUCCUCUUCCUGAUUUUCUUGAUUUUGAUAUGAUCUCAUUUGGGCCAGAAGUAAUGCCUCCUAGAACUCUAUCUUCCUGGUCUACUAAGAAAAUAAAGUGGUACACAUAUUGUAAGGAAAGUGUAAAUGUGGAUGAAAGCAGAACAAAUUUAGCUAUUGUGACUAGAGACACAGGAUUCAUUAAGCCACCAGUUGCUCUGGAUGGCCAUUUUCUUUUCAAUACAAGGGGUGAAUAUCAAGGUCAAU
rnacentral:lncRNA from 1 species